UACGGAGGGGGCGAGUGUUGUUCGGAAUUACUGGGCGUAAAGGGCGCGCAGGCGGCGCGGCCAGUCGAGUGUGAAAGCCCUUGGCUUAACUAAGGAAUGGCGCUCGAAACUACCGCGCUAGAGGACGGGAGAGGGAAGUGGAACUCUCGGUGUAGGGGUGAAAUCUGUAGAGAUCGAGAGGAACACCGGUGGCGAAGGCGGCUUCCUGGCCCGUAGCUGACGCUGAGGCGCGAAAGCGUGGGGAGCAAACAGG
rnacentral:rRNA from 1 species